GAGUUUGAUCAUGGCUCAGGAUGAACGCUAGCGGGAGGCCUAACACAUGCAAGCCGAGCGGUAUUGUUUCUUCGGAAAUGAGAGAGCGGCGUACGGGUGCGGAACACGUGUGCAACCUGCCUUUAUCUGGGGGGAUAGCCUUUCGAAAGGAAGAUUAAUACUCCAUAAUAUAUUGAACGGCAUCGUUUAAUAUUGAAAGCUCCGGCGGAUAGAGAUGGGCACGCGCAAGAUUAGCUAGUUGGUGAGGUAACGGCUCACCAAGGCGAUGAUCUUUAGGGGGCCUGAGAGGGUGAUCCCCCACACUGGUACUGAGACACGGACCAGACUCCUACGGGAGGCAGCAGUGAGGAAUAUUGGUCAAUGGGUGCAAGCCUGAACCAGCCAUCCCGCGUGAAGGACGACUGCCCUAUGGGUUGUAAACUUCUUUUGUAUAGGGAUAAACCCUACCCUCGUGGAGGGUAGCUGAAGGUACUAUACGAAUAAGCACCGGCUAACUCCGUG
rnacentral:rRNA from 1 species